GCCCACUUAGCUUAGUGGUUAGAGCAUCAUUCUUGAAUGUUGAGGUUACAGGUUCAACUCCUGCAGUGCACA
rnacentral:tRNA from 1 species